CGGCGGCACAAAAUGGCGGCGGCGGCAGCCGGGGCUUCGGGGUUGAUGGCUCCUGCGUUGGCGGCCUGCUCUUCCGGCUCGGGGGGAGCAGCCCCAGGGUCUCAGGGGGUGCUGAUCGGUGACAGGCUAUACUCCGGAGUUCUCAUCACCUUGGAAAACUGCCUGCUGCCCGACGACAAGCUCCGCUUCACGCCAUCCAUGUCGAGCGGUCUCGACAUCGAUACAGAGACUGGACUCCGCGUAGUGGGCUGCGAGCUCAUCCAGGCAGCCGGCAUCCUACUCCGCCUGCCGCAGGUAAGUGCUGGGCCGCGAGCUUUGUAGGUAGCCGUUCGCCGGCCGGCCAAGUAGCGGGCCUUUGUUGUCGUCUUGGCCCAUGUCCCGAAACCAACCCUACCUAGACUCGGACUGAGGUCGGAGCC
rnacentral:lncRNA from 1 species